rnacentral:rRNA from 1 species
AGGAUUAACGCUGGCGGCGUGCCUGACACAUGCAAGUCGAACGAGGCCGCAAGGCCGAGUGGCGGACGGGUGAGUAACACGUGACCAACCAACCUCGAAGUUGGGAAUAGCUCUGCGAAAGUAGGGGUAAUACCGAAUGUGGCCCAGGGCAGGCAUCUGCCUUGGUCUAAAGAUUCAUCGCUUCGAGACGGGGUCGCGGCCUAUUAGCUUGUUGGUGGGGUAACGGCUCACCAAGGCGAUGAUGGGUAGCUGGUCUGAGAGGACGACCAGCCACACUGGGACUGAGACACGGCCCAGACUCCUACGGGAGGCAGCAGUGAGGAAUCUUCCGCAAUGGGCGAAAGCCUGACGGAGCAACGCCGCGUGUGGGAUGAAGGCUCUAGGGUUGUAAACCACUGUCGGAGGGGACGAUCGUGACGGUACCCUCCAAGAAAGCCCCGGCUAACUACGCGCCAGCAGCCGC